GGCCGGCUGGCUCAAUGGUAGAGUGCUUGACUACGAUUCGAACCUCGAUUAGAACAUCAAGAGGCUGCAGGUUCGAGCCCUGCGUCGGUCA
rfam:Zymoseptoria brevis strain Zb18110 contig4159, whole genome shotgun sequence.